rnacentral:rRNA from 1 species
AUGGACGCAAGUCUGAGGCAGCAACGCCGCGUGGGCGAUGAAGGCCUUCGGGUUGUAAAGCCCUUUUCUGGGGGACGAGAAAGGACGGUACCUCAGGAAUAAGUCACGGCUAACUACGUGCCAGCAGCCGCGGUAAUACGUAGGUGGCCAGCGUUAUCCGGAUUCACUGGGCGUAAAGCGCGUGCAGGCGGUUCCGUAAGUCGGACGUGAAAGCUCCUGGCUUAACUGGGAGAGGUCGUUCGAUACUGCGGGGCUUGAGGUCGGGAGAGGGACGUGGAAUUCCCGGUGUAGUGGUGGAAUGCGUAGAUAUCGGGAGGAACACCAGUGGCGAAGGCGGCGUCCUGGCCCGCACCUGACGCUAAGACGCGAAAGCGUGGGGAGCGAACGGGAUUAGAUACCCCGGUAGUCCACGCUGUAAACGGUGGAUACUAGGUGUUGGUGGCUAUCGUCAUCAGUGCCGUAGCUAACGCGUUAAGUAUCCCGCCUGGGGACUACGGCCGCAAGGCUAAAACUCAAAGGAAUUGACGG